rnacentral:rRNA from 1 species
AGUCGAGCGGUAACAGGUGUAGCAAUACAUGCUGACGAGCGGCAGACGGGUGAGGAACACGUACGCAACUUUCCUCAAACCGGGGCACAACCUUGAGAAAUCAGGGCUAAUUCCCCAUAACAUUGCGAGAGGGCAUCCGAUUGCAAUUAAAGAUUCGUCGGUUUGAGAUGGGCGUGCGUUCGAUUAGCUAGUUGGUAAGGUAACGGCCUACCAAGGCAACGAUCGAUAGCUGGUGUGAGAGCACGACCAGCCACACGGGCACUGAGAUACGGGCCCGACUCCUACGGGAGGCAGCAGUAAGGAAUAUUGGUCAAUGGACGAAAGUCUGAACCAGCCAUGCCGCGUGAGGGAUGAAGGUCCCCUGGAUUGUAAACCUCUUUUAUCUAUGAAGAAAUGUCCUGUUUCUACGGGAUUUGACGGUAAUAGAUGAAUAAGCACCGGCUAACUCCGUGCCAGCAGCCGCGGUAAUACGGAGGGUGCAAGCGUUAUCCGGAUUUACUGGGUUUAAAGGGUGCGUAGAUGGGUUGGUAAGUCAGUGGUGAAAUACUUUCGCUUAACGAAGGAACUGCCAUUGAUACUACCAGUCUUGAAUACAGUGGAGGUAGGCGGAAUGCGUCAUGUAGCGGUGAAAUGCUUAGAUAUGACGCAGAACACCAAUUGCGAAGGCAGCUUGCUACACUGUUAUUGACACUGAGGCACGAAAGCGUGGGGAUCAAACAGGAUUAGAUACCCUGGUAGUCCACGCCCUAAACGAUGAUUACUCGAUCUCAGCGAUACACUGUUGGGGUCUAUGAGAAAGCAUUAAGUA